rnacentral:rRNA from 1 species
GACGAACGCUGGCGGCGCGCCUAACACAUGCAAGUCGAACGGUGAAGAGGAGCUUGCUCCUCGGAACAGUGGCGGACGGGUGAGUAACACGUGAGCAACCUGGCUCUAAGAGGGGGACAACAGUUGGAAACGACUGCUAAUACCGCAUGACGUAUCGGGAUGGCAUCUUCCUGAUACCAAAGAUUUUAUCGCUUGGAGAUGGGCUCGCGUCUGAUUAGCUAGUUGGCGGGGUAACGGCCCACCAAGUCGACGAUCAGUAGCCGGACUGAGAGGUUGAACGGCCACAUUGGGACUGAGACACGGCCCAGACUCCUACGGGAGGCAGCAGUGGGGGAUAUUGGACAAUGGGGGCAACCCUGAUCCAGCGACGCCGCGUGAGGGAAGAAGGUUUUCGGAUUGUAAACCUCUGUUGACGGAGAAAAAAAUGAUGGUAUCCGUUUAGAAAGCCACGGCUAACUACGUG